CCCGUAUCCUACAUGAAAUAACUCAGAAACAGAAAGUCAAAUACCAUAUAUUCUCACUUACAAGUGGAACUAAACACUGGGUAUACUUGGAUGUACAGAAGGAAGCCACAGACACUGGGGACUCCAAAAGUGGGGAGGUUGAAAGCGGGGUGAGGAUUGAAAAAUUACCUGUUGAGUAUAAUGUUCACUAUUCAGGUGAUGGGCACACUAAAAGCCGAAACCUCACCAGUAUGCAGUAUAUUCAUGUAACAAACAUGCACAUGUACCGUCUGAAUCUAUUUUUUAAAAAAUGUGUGUGUGAUUUUGUGUAUGUAAAAGGCAAGGAAGAUGAUGUUCAUAGAAGCAUUCAAACAUUUGGUAUGGUGCAUGUCAAUGUAUAGUAGCGCCAAACACCUAAUUUUCUGAGAAUCCAUUCUGCAUCAGGCCAUGGGCUGAGUGCUAGGAUGCUGAGAUGAGACGACUUCCGUGCACUAAGGUGAGGAAAGAAGAGAACUGAGUCAUCAGUGUGGAGAAGACGCAUGUGAGGAUGAAGAGGAAUAGUUGAGAAGUUGUGUCAUUUUUUUUCCGUUAGCAAUGACACGUUUUCUCCUCUGAUGGACUUGAAAGUGCUCCCUCUUGCCGGUUGCCCCCCUCCCCCGCCCGCCCCACCCUCCAGCGAUGAACUGCUGAACUUACAGAAACCCUUGCAGAGUGCCCUGGGCUUCGUGAUCUUGAGAAGCAGCCAAAACUGGAACAGCAAAAACCGUCAACGCUGGNNNNNNNNN
rnacentral:lncRNA from 1 species